GCGGACGUGGCGAAACUGGUAUACGCAAGGCACUUAAAAUGCCUCACCUUCGGGUAUGCGGGUUCGAUCCCCGCCGUCCGCACCA
rnacentral:tRNA from 1 species